GUCACGGGGGGUGGGUGAGGGAGGGGCGUGAGGGGCAGAGCCGAGCGGCCAGGGACUGCCGAGCUGCGGGCGAUGCAUCCUGCCUGCUGGAAGGUGCGGGAAGUCUGCUGUCUCGGCUUUUGUAAACCUGCCAGGAAGCUGAAAGCAUGGAGAAUACAAUGUCAUAACUGGCUUAGUCCAACUGUGACCACUGCUGGCAAGUGUGCCCUCAGAUGCUCAAGCAAAAUCAAGACUUUUACAGCCAAGGUGUAAUUAUUCUAGUAGUGAACAGCUCAGCAACUUCCUUGUGCCCCCCUGCUGUCAGCACCUGGGUGGCCUGCCCACCUCUGCACUUGUCAUCACACGUGACACACAGGGACAGUGCCUACCCCACACCUGACCUUGCGAUGAUCUGCCUGCUGCUUAGCACCUGGAAACCCAGCAGCCCUCCGCCCCCGGUGUUCCAUCACUGCAGAGGUCACACUGGACAUCUCCAGUUCCUUGGACCCUGGAUGUUCUGCUACCUAACUGACUUUACAAAGCUUAGACUUGUAUGGGCUAAUUGCCUUCAUUUUUAUUAUACUGGAGCAAGGAUUCCUCUCCAGCGAAAUUUAGCUAUUACUGAGAUGCCAGAGGACCUCAUCUGAUUUCAGAUGAACAAGAACUCCCAGAAAAGGAAAAAUGUGGUUUCAAAUUGUAAUGUCUUCCCCAGUGGUAUUUUAAAUGAAAAUAGCCUUUUAUGAUAAGGCCUAAAUCAUUGACUAGGUAGAACUUUAUUAUUUUGUCAAAUGGAAGUGACUGAGAUAUGGAUAGAUAAUGGUAGCUUUUAAUAUGAAAGUCUUAAUGUUUCACUUCUGUAUUUUUUGGUAAAAUGAAUGGAAAGAAUCUUGGUGUACACAUUUAAAGAAAGCUUCCUUAAGAGCUACAAAAUAGUAUUUGGUUUUAUAAUUUUUUUGCAAGAGAGCUAGGAAGUUGAGUGGUAUGAGUGGGAGUAAGGAGAAGCAUUGAAAAUAAAAGGAAGUAUUGAAUAAGAAUGAAGAACAAUGUCAUUAAGAAAGGACAAAAUAAUUAUACACAGUGGAAAGCAGAAUACUGUUGUCAAAGAGAAGGAACACUUAAAUGCUUGUGUGAAACUAAGAGACCUAGUAAUUAAAAUUAGUAAAAUAGUCUGCAGAAAAAAUAGGCACUUCCAAAAUCAUACUGACAUUUGAGGUUAUUUUAUAUCAUUCAUGGUAACCUAGAAACGGAAUUUUGGCCUCGGAAGAGAUUUUUUAUUUUAAGAAGACACAGUGUAAGUCCAUUUCUUUAUAGAUAUGGAAUCAGAGGCAUAGAGAAUUUAAGUGACUUCUUGUCAGUUAUAGAAUUGACAUGUGAACAAAUAGUCCCUAAUUUAUGGACCGUGGCAAGCUGGACAAUGGCUGUCCCAAGAUGUUCGCCCGCAUCACAAUCCCAAAACCUAUGCUGUUGUUACUUUAGAUAGUGAAAGGAGCUGUGCAGGUACGACGAAGUUAGGAAUAGUACUGCGCGGGAGCAAUGCAAUCACGGAGUCAUGGUAAGAGAGGUGGAAGGGUCAGGGAAGGGAAGCCCAAGCAAAGAAUUCAGUUCUCUCCCAGCACUUCUGGAAGAAUCAAAGCCUUGCCAACGUGUUGAUUGGAGCUCACUUCGGAUUUCUGACCUCCAAAAAUGUAGUAUAAUAACUUUGUGUUGUUUAGGUUCGUGUCAGUUUUGCACAGUGCAGUAGCAAAAGAACACAUGCAUUUUCCAUUUGAACAGCUUACUUUCUAUCUGUAGAAGAAACACAGGAGUUAUUGAAAGAAGUAGAGUAAUUCAGGAAUAACACCGAAAAUUCCAGUUGCUGCUACAGAUAAAUUGUGAUACAACUUCCAAAACCAACUACAGAUUAACAUAGGAACCACACAUACUAAUCCCGGUACCAAAAAACAAAACAAAACAAAACAAAACAAAAAACUCAGUAUGUUUCAAAUGUCAGAAUUCUGGAGUAAAAUUUUAAAAUUAAACAAAAAUCUUCUCUAUCAGGAGUAAUUGUAGCAAAAUACCAAGCUAACUCUGGCUAGUGUAAAUAAAAAUGGAAACUAGGGAUUAGAAGUCAAACUGCAGAAGGA
ensembl:lincRNA